UAACCUGCCCAAGAGAUCGGGAUAACACCUGGAAACAGAUGCUAAUACCGGAUAACAACAGAUGAUGCCUAUCAACUGUUUAAAAGAUGGUUCUGCUAUCACUCUUGGAUGGACCUGCGGUGCAUUAGCUAGUUGGUAGGGUAACGGACUACCAAGGCGAUGAUGCAUAGCCGAGUUGAGAGACUGAUCGGCCACAUUGGGACUGAGACACGGCCCAAACUCCUACGGGAGGCAGCAGGC
rnacentral:rRNA from 1 species